AUUGAACGCUGGCGGAAUGCUUUACACAUGCAAGUCGAACGGCAGCACGGGUGCUUGCACCUGGUGGCGAGUGGCGAACGGGUGAGUAAUGCACCGGAAUGUAUCCAAUAAUGGGGGAUAACGCACCGAAAGGUGUGCUAAUACCGCAUACGCCCUGAGGGGGAAAGCGGGGGAUCGUAAGACCUCGCGUUAAUGGAGCGGCCGAUGCCGGAUUAGCUAGUUGGUGAGGUAAAGGCUCACCAAGGCGACGAUCCGUAGCUGGUCUGAGAGGACGACCAGCCACACUGGAACUGAGACACGGUCCAGACUCCUACGGGAGGCAGCAGUGGGGAAUUUUGGACAAUGGGCGGAAGCCUGAUCCAGCCAUGCCGCGUGAGUGAAGAAGGCC
rnacentral:rRNA from 1 species